rnacentral:lncRNA from 1 species
GUGUGUAUGAAAGGUCGUCACAGAUCAUUCGUGGCCCCUUUUGUAUCACUCAUCAUUUGAUCCUUAUCUCUACACUAAAUCUGAUCUAUAAAUAUCUCCACUUAUAUAUCAAAUCUUCAAGCUUUUCACAUACUGAUGAAGUAAAAUGAUAACUCCUUUUGACUUUCUUCUCGGUUUAGAGGAUCUAGAAACUGGGUUUUUUAUGAAGAAGCUUGAAUGAGAACGGCUUAAGAGAGGCUGUCUUAUAUAAAAAGUAUUGAGGAAGUAAAGGCAUUUGGGUGUAUAUGGCUGCAGUGUAGUGGUCAGUGGCUGGAGAGCUGGAG